GUGUGUGUGUGUGUGUGUGUGUGUGACUAGCUGCUUCGUUUGAGCAACAGAUUCAUUGUCAUGCACACCUGGGAGCAGAGACUUCAACUAAUCAUGUAUGAUUGGUUGUGAGUCGUGAGUCGAUUGAACUGGUAAACUAUGAUCGAUGCCAUGCUAACCAGAGGUCUCACAACACUUGCCAAACACAAUGAAAUCAGCAAGUAUUUACACACACAAAUUUCAUAACUUUUCAUUAUGAAUCUGAUCAACUUUUCUUAUGGAAUUUUUAUCUUCUCAAUUCUUUCCUCUUUCAUACUGUUACUGCUGGUUUAUCAAAUAAUUGAGUUGUCUCUGAAAUAUUGGAGAGAAGCUAAUUUGACUGGGUCUAUUUGGCAACAUUUUGGCAUAUACAAUGGAAUCUGAUCAACUUUUCUUAUGGACUUUGUCGGCUCAAGCUCUUUCCUCUUUGAUAUUGUUACAAUGCUGGCUUAUCAAAUAUUGAUGUUUGAAGUAUUGGAAGAAAAAUACAAUUUUGACACACUUCUAUGUGACUUACAACACCCCUCAACCUCAACAUUCUGUACUGGGAUGUCCCACGUGACCUCUCACCUGACACGACCCGUCUAUUCUACAAGAUCUGUUCAACUUUUCUUAUGGAACUUUUUAUCAGCUCAAGUUCGUUCUUCUUUCAUAUUGUCGCAUUGUUGGCUUAUCAAGUACUGGUGAGAUGUAUGCCAAGAUGAGAAAAAGAUCAACAAUCGAGCUUAACCGGUCACGUGAGCGACAAUUCAAUAAUAAUAAUAUGUUUUUUUUUAUAACGUUGUAGACACUGCCAUAGUCAAUAGCAUCCUUCUAUUUGAACAGCUGAAUCCCGAUACGAAGAUGUCCCAUCUCGACUUUACACUGCUAUCACACGUCAACUGGUACUGUUGUUUUGUGAAUGUCGUUUUGCCCCACAGCCAAUUCUUCCCGCUCCUGCACCUACUCCUACUGCUGAACUGUUGCCUGUGACUGCACCUGUUCCUGUUCCUGUUGUGACAACUGCUGCUCGGUCAACAUGCUACUGAGAAGCCAUUUAAGAUGCAUCAAUGGUCUGUGGCCCUCUGCGGGUGUCUGUCAAAAUCCAGUCACACCUCUUUGAUGGUACUGUACAUGUGUAACAGCAUCUUGUGCUGGCUAACUUGACUGGUGCAGUUACUGUACUUUCCACACUACAUUGUUGAUGUCACAGACUAUGAUGAUACAGUACUGAGUAGUACAAUAAUUGUUAAAAUUGUUUCUAUAGCAAUUGUGUGGAACUACAGCCUCCUUUUGUUGCAUGAAUUGUGAAAGCUAAUGGUUGCGUUCUUAGUAUGUUGCUGAGUUACUCAGAGGUGGUGUUGGCAGCUGCUGAAUGCAUUUAUGUUGACUGAGGAUUGAAGUAUUGUGCUAUGCUAUUCAAGUAUGUUGAUUACAAUGAACACGUAACUGAUGCAGGGAUUAGAUGGCAGCUGCCAUCUACUGUACUUUGGCUUACUAAUACACGUUUUCUAAUGGGCA